CAAAAGGAAGCUUCUGGUGGACAAAAGAAGGCCAUGAGACUCUCAAGAACACAAAUGGGGGGCCCAUCAGCUGAAAGAGACUUGAGGGAGGACAAUCCCCUAAUGACAGACAGCUUGUGUUCUGAGGCCAUUGCACUGAUGAAGCAUACAGCUGAUAAAGGAAUUGUUAUGACGAAGAUGAAGCAGACCUUCAACUAUCGUCAAAAGAUCAUUCAUGAUCCAGUGAAGUCCUCUGAUGUCUUUCUGGCCUUCCCAAGAUUCCUGGACAUACAAGGAUUAAUUGAGCAAGAUUUUACUUUGAUGUUUGAUGAUGCCAUCUCUGCAAAGUUCCUGGAGAAGUGGCCCACAAUUUACAAGCACAAAGUCCU